AUUGAACGCUGGCGGCAGGCCUAACACAUGCAAGUCGGGCGAGCCGCGGAAGGGAGAGUAAUGAAUGGGGCUCUGCAUGAUGGAUGGGGAUAACUAAUGGAAACGGUAGCUAAUUCCGCAUACCAUCGGAUGAACCCGUAUGGGAUUAGCUUGUAGGUGAGGUAACGGCUCACCUAGGCGACGAUCCGUAUCUGGUCUGAGAGGAUGAUCAGCCACACUGGGACUGAGACACGGCCCAGACUCCUACGGGAGGCAGCAGUGGGGAAUAUUGCACAAUGGGCGCAAGCCUGAUGCAGCCAUGCCGCGUGUAUGAAGAAGGCCUUCGGGUUGUAAAGUACUUUCAGUCGGGAGGCGUUACCGACAGAAGAAGCACCGGCUAACUCCGUGCCAGCAGCCGCGGUAAUAC
rnacentral:rRNA from 1 species